rnacentral:tRNA from 1 species
ACUCAAUUUUGAUCAGUUUUGGGUGGUUUUGAUCGGUUUUUGCCCGUUUUUGAUCGAUUUUUGAUCGAUUCUGGAGUGCGGCACCUCUGGCGGAGUA